rnacentral:rRNA from 1 species
AUUGAACGCUGGCGGCAGGCCUAACACAUGCAAGUCGAGCGAGCGGCGGACGGGUGAGUAAUGUAUGGGGACUGCCCGAUAGAGGGGGAUAACUACUGGAAACGGUGGCUAAUACCCCAUCCUGACGGAUAACCCAUAUGGGAUUAGCUAGUAGGUAAGGUAAUGGCUUACCUAGGCGACGAUCCCUAGCUGGUCUGUGAGGCUGAUCAGCCACACUGGGACUGAGACACGGCCCAGACUCCUACGGAGGCAGCAGUGGGGAAUAUUGCACAAUGGGCGCAAGCCUGAUGCAGCCAUGCCGCGUGUAUGAAGAAGGCCAUAGGGUUGUAAAGUACUGUCAGUCGGGAGGCGUUACCGACAGAAGAAGCACCGGCUAACUCCGUGCCAGCAGCCGCGGUAAUAC